rnacentral:rRNA from 1 species
CCUAACACAUGCAAGUCGAACGAACCUUCGGGUUAGUGGCGGACGGGUGAGUAACGCGUGAGAAUCUGCCCUCAGGAGGGGGAUAACGGUUGGAAACGACCGCUAAUACCCCAUAUGCCUAUUGGUGAAAUGAAUUUCGCCUGAGGAUGAGCUCGCGUCUGAUUAGCUAGUUGGUGGGGUAAUGGCUUACCAAGGCUUCGAUCAGUAGCUGGUCUGAGAGGAUGAUCAGCCACACUGGGACCGAGACACGGCCCAGACUCCUACGGGAGGCAGCAGUGGGGAAUUUUCCGCAAUGGGCGAAAGCCUGACGGAGCAACGCCGCGUGAGGGACGGAGGCCUCUGGGCUGUAAACCUCUUUUCUCAAGGAAGAAGAUAUGACGGUACUUGAGGAAUAAGCCACGGCUAAUUCCGUGCCAGCAGCCGCGGUAAUACGGGAGUGGCAAGCGUUAUCCGGAAUUAUUGGGCGUAAAGCGUCCGCAGGCGGCUUUUCAAGUCUGCUGUUAAAACGUGGAGCUUAACUCCAUCAUGGCAGUGGAAACUGAAAGGCUUGAGUAUGGUAGGGGCAGAGGGAAUUCCCGGCGUAGCGGUGAAAUGCGUAGAUAUCGGGAAGAACACCAGUGGCGAAGGCGCUCUGCUGGGCCAUUACUGACGCUCAUGGAC